AAUGAAGAAGAAUAUCUCUUUUGUUCUUAGUUGAUUUGGAAUGUUAUAUUAUUGAUUUUGUAUUGCCAAUUUUUUGUUAUGACUGUUGUGAUUGGGCUGUGGCAUGAUGAUGUUGAGUAUGUAUUGCUGGAAUGAAGUUGAGAGCAGUAAGGAGUAAAGAGUAUUAUUGCCGUGAAACUGUCUUUACCUAACAGAACUAAAAGCUUGACAGCACUGAGUGUCUUUUACGAGGGAAGUUUGCUGCUGGAAUUGCUUCAGUUCUGCAUUGCGUGGAGUUCAACAUGAGGGAGAGUUUAAUCCAUGUCUGGAUGAUUUCAACCCAAGUGCAAAUGAUUCUGAUUUGGAUGAAUUUCCUCAAGAUUGUUGGCUCAACAAUGGAUGUGGCAGCCACAACUAUGCUGAGCCCUAGAGACAAUGAUGGGGCAAAAGAUAAUGUAUGUUGCUGCAUAAUUUUAUGAUGAAGAUGGAUGAAAACUAAAGAAUUACAAUUAUAUGAGAAGGGAAGCUGCUGGGGUACUAAUCUCUGUUCUAACCAAAGAAAGCAUAUUUGAAUUCAAGCUUAAUAUGCACUUGCAUUUGGCUGUGUGCUUAAGGACUUGUAUUAUGUCUAUUAUUUGGAUGCUUUUAUUUAUAGUUUUAUAAAAUUGAAGCAAAGAUCAAUGUUGUUUGCGUUAA